CAGAACAUAACUAAAAAAGUACCUCGUUUACACCGAGUUAAUGUUUGUUAAACUCAAACUGCUCUGAG
rnacentral:tRNA from 1 species